GCGAGAGAGGGGAGGGGGGGGGGGGGAAUACGGAGGGGGGGAGCGGGGGCCGGAAGUACGGGGCGGAAAGGGCGUGUAGGCGGGGCGUCGCGUCGAGUGGGAAAACGUGCAGCGCAACUGCAAGCUUGCAGUCGAGACGGGCGGACUAGAGUACUGCAGGGGAGACUGGAAUGCCUGGUGUAGCGGGGAAAUGCGCAGAGAUCAGGAGGAACACCGGUGGCGAAGGCGGGUCUCUGGGAAGUAACUGACGCUGAGAAGCGAAAGCGUGGGUAGCGAACAGGAUUAGAUACCCUAGUAGUC
rnacentral:rRNA from 1 species